AAGCUGGUAAGGGAAAGCUUUGAUAAGCAUAGACUUUUGUGGCUGUGGUGGGAUUUGCUUCCCUCCUUGAGAAGAUAGAGAAGCUGUUUGUGGCUGUGGUGGGGCUUGCUUCCCUCCUUGAGAAGAUAGCGAAGCUCUGGAAGAGUGCAGAGCUACCUUUACCUGGGACAAAAUGCACUUUAUUGUCUGGCUCACCUUGUGGCCAGUCCGGUGCUGGUGUGGCUGCAAUAGCUGCAGUGCAAUGUGAGCCCCGGAGAACUGAGCUGGAGUUGCUGCCAUCCUUUGCUGUGUAUGGAAAGCAGAAGACUGUUUGGAGGACAAGAGGAUAG
rnacentral:lncRNA from 12 species